rnacentral:rRNA from 1 species
UGCCUACGGGGGGCAGCAGUGGGGAAUUUUGGACAAUGGGGGCAACCCUGAUCCAGCCAUUCCGCGUGAGUGAAGAAGGCCUUCGGGUUGUAAAGCUCUUUCAGCUGGAACGAAACGGUACGCCCUAAUACGGUGUGCUAAUGACGGUACCAGCAGAAGAAGCACCGGCUAACUACGUGCCAGCAGCCGCGGUACUACGUAGGGUGCGAGCGUUAAUCGGAAUUACUGGGCGUAAAGCGUGCGCAGGCGGAUUGUUAAGCAAGAUGUGAAAUCCCCGGGCUUAACCUGGGAAUUGCAUUUUGAACUGGCAGUCUAGAGUGCGUCAGAGGGGGGUGGAAUUCCACGUGUAGCAGUGAAAUGCGUAGAGAUGUGGAGGAACACCGAUGGCGAAGGCAGCCCCCUGGGAUGACACUGACGCUCAUGUACGAAAGCGUGGGUAGCAAACAGGAUUAGAUACCCUGGUAGUC